rnacentral:rRNA from 1 species
UAACACGUAGGGGCCGAGCGUUGUCCGGAGUUACUGGGCGUAAAGCGCGCGCAGGCGGUCAGGCGCAUCCGUGGUGAAAGCCCCGCGCUCAACGCGGGAGAGUCCAGGGAGAUGGCCUGACUGGAGGCAGGGCGAGGCCGGUGGAAUUCCGGGUGUAGUGGUGAAAUGCGUAGAGAUCCGGAGGAACACCAGUGGCGUAGGCGGCCGGCUGGACCUGUCCUGACGCUGAGGCGCGAAGGCGUGGGGAGCGAACGGGAUUAGAUACCCCGGUAGUCCACGCAGUAAACGAUGGGCACUGGGUGUGGCGGGAGUUGACCCCUGCCGUGCCGGAGUUAACACGGUAAGUGCCCCGCCUGGGGAGUACGGCCGCAAGGCUA